UGUCUGCCCGUGUGAGAGGAAGAAGUGUCGUCCACCUCAGGCAGGAACCAGCCUUGGGUAGGGAAGGAUGUGUUCCCCGCUGAAGAUGUGUGACGGUGAAGCACUGGCGGCAAGCUGUGGCGAGCGUGAUCCUACGUGGAUGAAGAUUUGCAACAAAGGAGCUGCAGACAUGAGCAGCAGGGUUCACAUCCUUCUCUUCUCACUUACUUCUAGUUUUAUCCAACCUUUUGGUGGCCACAUUCUGCAUCAUAAGUUACAGCUAAAACGGUAGCAACAGCAGUGUAGCCAUUGUUUUUGUGUCCAUACACAUUGCUGUGCCUCAUAGUUGUUCAAUUUAUCUUGAUAUAAAGCACAACUACAUGUCAUAGGCUUGUGUCUCCCUAUGCAAAGUUGGCAUAUUGUAGAUGCAGGUUCACUUAAAUACAUUCAUGUCAAAAGCAACAGUAGUAUAGGAUAUUUAUGCAUGUCAUCACAUACUGAAAGUCUGUCCUCUUGUUCCUUCUUUCAAUUUAACUUUUAUUUAGGGUUGUAACAAAAUUGGAAUGUAAAAGUAGCACAAAGUCAACUGACUGUAUAGCCUAUUAGUAAGAGUGAAUUAUUAUACAUAAUUGAAUGGCAUCCUAUCAAAAUGGCUCUUACAACUUGAAAAAAUAUAGAAUAAGGGAAAAAAAAAAAAAAAAAAAAUCGGAUCUAAGGUUACAGGAAUGCAUGUCUUACAAGUGAGAGAUCUGUGGUUUAAUUCCCAGGAGUGGAGAUGGAUGGGCAGUUGCUUUGAAGUUGUUUGUCUGUCCUCCCAGCAGUAAAUAGGUACAGGGAGACACCCAAGGGUUGUGUCUCAACUUCCAGGGUGGUGGCCUGGCACCAGCAAAGGGUGCAAACCCACAGCCCUCAAAUAAGGAUCACUUUGAAGAGAAGUUCUCAUAUACUUUCAUAGGCCGUCCUUGUUGAAAAUAAAGAAAAUAAACAAAAUUAAAUAAAAACAAAAUUAUGUACUACAUACAUAAAAAUAAAAUAAAAAAAGGUCA